AGUGAACGCUGGCGGUAGGCCUAACACAUGCAAGUCGAACAGCAGCACAGGAGAGCUUGCUCUCUGGGUGGCGAGUGGCGGACGGGUGAGGAAUACAUCGGAAUCUACUCUGUCGUGGGGGAUAACGUAGGGAAACUUACGCUAAUACCGCAUACGACCUACGGGUGAAAGCAGGGGACCUUCGGGCCUUGCGCGAUUGAAUGAGCCGAUGUCGGAUUAGCUAGUUGGCGGGGUAAAGGCCCACCAAGGCGACGAUCCGUAGCUGGUCUGAGAGGAUGAUCAGCCACACUGGAACUGAGACACGGUCCAGACUCCUACGGGAGGCAGCAGUGGGGAAUAUUGGGCAAUGGGCGCAAGCCUGAUCCAGCCAUACCGCGUGGGUGAAGAAGGCCUUCGGGUUGUAAAGCCCUUUUGUUGGGAAAGAGAUCCAGCUGGCUAAUACCCGGUUGGGAUGACGGUACCCAAAGAAUAAGCACCGGCUAACUUCGUGCCAGCCGCCGCCGUAA
rnacentral:rRNA from 1 species